rnacentral:rRNA from 1 species
ACGUAGAGUGUAAAGGCAAAAGAGAGCUUGAUUGCAAGACAUACAGGUCGAGCAAGGAUGAAAAUUGGACUUAGUGAUCCGGUGCUUCUGGUUGGAAGGUCCUUCGCUCAAUGGAUAAAGGUUCCCCUUGGGAUUACAGGCUUACUUCCCCCACGUGUCCACCUCGACGGGGUGGUUUUGCACCUCCAUUUCGGCUCAUCCCCUCCUGGGGCUGUAGUAGGUCCCAAGUUUUGGGCUGUUCGCCCAUUAAAGUGGUCCGCGAGCUGGGUUCAGAACGUCGUGCGACAGUUCGGUCCCUAUCCGUCGCAGGCCUAGGAAAUUUGAGAAGACCUGUCCUUAG